rnacentral:rRNA from 1 species
AGGGCACGGGAUGGAUGCCUAGGCGCAGGUGGCCGAGGAAGGACGUGGCCACGCGGCGAAACGCCCCGGGGAGCCGCUGGCAGGCGAUGAUCCGGGGGUGUCCGAAUGGGGCAACCCCUCAUGGGCAACCAUGAGACCCGCUGGCGUGAUCUGGCGGGAGGGAACUCCGGGAACUGAAACAUCUCAGUACCGGGAGGAAGAGAGAGGAUUCCCCGAGUAGCGGCGAGCGAACGGGGAGGAGCCCAAACCGGGGACGUGGCAGAGGCUGCCGCCGAUGCGUCGUCGGGGUUGGACGGGAUGUCGGGAGGGGGUGGCAGACCCCUCGCCUGGGACGUGUGUGUCAGCCGAACCCUGCUGGAACGGGGGGCCGGAGCGGGUGAGAGCCCCGUAGGCGACGGCGCGCACGGUCGGGUGCGACAUCUGCGUGAGUACCGCCGGACACGCGGAAUCCGGUGGGAAGCGGGGGCGACCACGCCCCAAGGCUAAAUACCGCCUGCGACCGAUAGCGAACCAGUACCGUGAGGGAAAGGUGAAAAGCACCCCGAUGAGGGGAGUGAAACAGUACCUGAAACCGAAUGCCUACAAGCAGUUGGAGGGUCUUUAGGGCCUGACAGCGUACCUCUUGCAUAAUGGGUCUGUGACUUAAUGUAUCGAGCAAGCUUAAGCCGUUAGGUGUAGGCGCAGCGAAAGCGAGUCCGAACAGGGCGUGUGAGUCGCGUGCUCUAGACCCGAAGCGGGGUGAUCUACCCAUGGCCAGGGUGAAGCGCCGGUAAGACGGCGUGGAGGCCCGAACCCACCAGGGUUGAAAACCUGGGGGAUGAGCUGUGGGUAGGGGUGAAAGGCCAAUCAAACUCCGUGAUAGCUGGUUCUCCCCGAAAUGCAUUUAGGUGCAGCGUCACGUGUUUCUUCCCGGAGGUAGAGCUACUGGAUGGACGAUGGGCCCUACAAGGUUACUGACGUCAACCAAACUCCGAAUGCCGGGAAGUGAGAGCGCGGCAGUGAGACUGCGGGGGAUAAGCUUCGUAGUCGAGAGGGAAACAGCCCAGAUCACCAGCUAAGGCCCCUGAAUGACCGCUCAGUGGUGAAGGAGGUAGGAGUGCAAAGACAGCCGGGAGGUUUGCCCAGAAGCAGCCAUCCUUGAAAGAGUGCGUAAUAGCUCACUGAUCAAGCGCUCCUGCGCCGAGAAUGAACGGGAUUAAGCGGUCUGCCGAAGCUGUGGGAUGUCGAAUGAUACAUCGGUAGGGGAGCGUUCCGCCUCAAAAGGAAGCACCAACGCAAGCAGGUGUGGAAGAAGCGGAAGCGAGAAUGUCGGCUUGAGUAACGCAAACAUUGGUGAGAAUCCAAUGCCCCGAAAACCCAAGGGUUCCUCCGCAAGGCUCGUCCACGGAGGGUGAGUCGGGACCUAAGAUCAGGCCGAGAGGCGUAGUCGAUGGACAACAGGCGAAUAUUCCUGUACUACCCAUCGUUGGUUACGGGGGACGGAGGAGGCCAGGUUAGCCGAAAGAUGGUUAUCGGUCCAAGGGCGCAAAGUGAGUGAACCUUUCGAGGCGAUGAAAAGGGGUAGAGAGAAUACCUCGAGCCGACGCCCGAGUGGCAAGCGCUACGGCGCUGAAGUAACUCAUGUCACACUCCCAAGAAAAGCCCGAACGACCUUCAACGAGUGGGUACCCGUACCUGAAACCGACACAGGUGGGUAGGUAGAGAAUACCUAGGGGCGCGAGAUAACUCUCUCUAAGGAACUCGGCAAAAUAGCCCCGCAACUUCGGGAGAAGGGGCGCCUUCUCGCAGAAGAGGUCGCAGUGACCAGGCCCAGGCGACUGUUUACCAAAAACACAGGUCCCCGCAAAGUCGUAAGACCAUGUAUGGGGGCUGACGCCUGCCCAGUGCCGGGAGGUUAAGGAAGUUGGUGACCCGAUGACGGGAAAGCCAGCAACCGAAGCCCCGGUGAACGGCGGCCGUAACUAUAACGGUCCUAAGGUAGCGAAAUUCCUUGUCGGGUAAGUUCCGACCUGCACGAAUGGCGUAACGACUUCUCCGCUGUCUCAACCGCGAACUCGGCGAAAUUGCACUACGAGUAAAGAUGCUCGUUACGCGCGGCAGGACGGAAAGACCCCGGGACCUUUACUAUAGCUUGGUAUUGGUGCUCGGUUCGGCUUGUGUAGGAUAGGUGGGAGACUGUGAAGCCGGCACGCUAGUGUUGGUGGAGUCGUUGUUGAAAUACCACUCUGGUCGGACUGGGUGUCUGAACCUCGGGCCAUGAUCUGGUUCAGGGACAGUGCCUGGUGGGUAGUUUAACUGGGGCGGUUGCCUCCCAAAGGGUAACGGAGGCGCGCAAAGGUUCCCUCGGGCUGGACGGAAAUCAGCCUUCAAGUGCAAAGGCGGAAGGGAGCUCGACUGCAAGACCCACCCGUCGAGCAGGGACGAAAGUCGGCCUUAGUGAUCCGACGGUGCCGAGUGGAAGGGCCGUCGCUCAACGGAUAAAAGUUACUCUAGGGAUAACAGGCUGAUCUUCCCCAAGAGUUCACAUCGACGGGAAGGUUUGGCACCUCGAUGUCGGCUCUUCGCCACCUGGGGCGGUAGUACGUUCCAAGGGUUGGGCUGUUCGCCCAUUAAAGCGGUACGUGAGCUGGGUUCAGAACGUCGUGAGACAGUUCGGUCCCUAUCCGCCGCGCGCGUUGGAGACUUGAGGAAGGCUGUCCCUAGUACGAGAGGACCGGGAUGGACGAACCUCUGGUGUGCCAGUUGUCCCGCCAGGGGCACGGCUGGUUGGCUACGUUCGGAAGGGAUAACCGCUGAAGGCAUCUAAGCGGGAAGCCCGUUCCAAGAUGAGGUCUCCCACCCUUUU